CUAGACACUAAGGAAAUGUGUGAAGGACUAAUUUUUGGAUUCCCAAUUGUGUGACAAAGCAGUGGUGAUAUGAAAAUAGCAGUUACCAGGGAUGAUUACUAGGACUUAAUUUACUACCACCCCUGCUGCUAGCACCUACCACAUCACAGUCCCUGGUCAAAAGUGUCUUUUCCACCUAAGGUGCAUAAAUGGAGGCGCAAGGAGGUUAGGAAAGUACUCACCCAAAGGAACAGGGCUAGCAAAGGUCAGAGCUGAUUUCCGAAUCCAGGUCCUGGGGACUCCAAAACCCCUGUCCUGUUCACCCCUUCAGGGGUUUUUCCUUGGAGGAAGUUGCUUCUUGAACAGGAAAAUUCUUCUGCACACCUGGUGGUGCUGGAACAAAGGGGAUGGCCAAGAAAAUCAAGAAAACCUGCAAUCUGGCAGUUCUGGGUUUUCCUUAGACCACCUCCCAAGAAACGAUAGAAGAAAGCGUUCUGGAGGAUUGAAAGGAAAGAAAGGAUGUCUCUUUCUCUGACAGAAGAGAGUCCUACAGA